CCAGUACACAGGUGCUGCAUGGCUGUCGUCAGCUCGUGUCGUGAGAUGUUGGGUUAAGUCCCGCAACGAGCGCAACCCUUGUCAUUAGUUGCUACGAAAGGGCCUCUAAUGAGACUGCCGGUGACAAACCGGAGGAAGGUGGGGAUGACGUCAAGUCCUCAUGGCCCUUAUGGGUAGGGCUUCACACGUCAUACAAUGGUACAUACAGAGCGCCGCCAACCCGCGAGGGGGAGCUAAUCGCAGAAAGUGUAUUGUAGUCCGGAUUGUAGUCUGCAACUCGACUGCAUGAAGUUGGAAUCGCUAGUAAUGCGAAUCAGCAUGUGGGGGGUGAAUACGUUCCCGGGUCUUGU
rnacentral:rRNA from 1 species